rnacentral:rRNA from 1 species
AGUGCUUGCACUCCUGAGGAGUUAGCGGCGGACGGGUGAGUAACACGUAGGCAACCUGCCCUCAAGACUGGGAUAACUACCGGAAACGGUAGCUAAUACCGGAUAAUUUAUUACAUAGCAUUAUGUGAUAAUGAAAGACGGAGCAAUCUGUCACUUGGGGAUGGGCCUGCGGCGCAUUAGCUAGUUGGUGGGGUAACGGCCCACCAAGGCGACGAUGCGUAGCCAACCUGAGAGGGUGAACGGCCACACUGGGACUGAGACACGGCCCAGACUCCUACGGGAGGCAGCAGUAGGGAAUCUUCCGCAAUGGGCGAAAGCCUGACGGAGCAACGCCGCGUGAGUGAUGAAGGUUUUCGGAUCGUAAAGCUCUGUUGCCAAGGAAGAACGUCUCAUAGAGUAACUGCUAUGAGAGUGACGGUACUUGAGAAGAAAGCCCCGGCUAACUACGUGCCAGCAGCCGCGGUAAUACGUAGGGGGCAAGCGUUGUCCGGAAUUAUUGGGCGUAAAGCGCGCGCAGGCGGUUCUUUAAGUCUGGUGUUUAAACCUGGGGCUCAACUUCAGGUCGCACUGGAAACUGGGGAACUUGAGUGCAGAAGAGGAGAGUGGAAUUCCACGUGUAGCGGUGAAAUGCGUAGAUUUGUGGAGGAACACCAGUUGGCGAAGGCGACUCUCUUGGGCUGUAACUGACGCUUAAGGCGCGAAAGCGUGGGGGAGC